CACCACACUGUUUUGGUUGUGAACUUUUCAUUCAAACAGGAUCAAAUAUGACUUAGGCUACGGGUACACGACAAGCGAUUUUGUGCGAAAUCCAGCGUGUCUGGUAUUUCUAAAAUUUGUUAUAAAAAUAGUUACUUGUGCAAAAGUGUUUUUUUAAUAAAAAUAGAAAGUAUUAGUUGUAUAGGAAAAAAUUAGUCGUUCUAAGAAAAUUCUGGAUUUGGCAAGAAAUAUAAAUUUAAUUAGAGAUGCGCCCAUGGAAGUUGAAGGAAUAAAUAUAGUGGAAAACCCACAAAGUAGUGUCGUUGUGCUUGAUACCGAUGAAAUGCUUUUAAAUAGUUCCGGGCCUUAUUAUGAAGAUUUCGCACAAAUAAUCAUAAUAAUCAUAAUCAUAAUCAUAAUUUUUAUUGAUGCCAGUAAUAUAAAUUUUACACAAGUCAAAAAAUACAUAGGUAAAGUCAAAACAGACUACUUAACAGUACUAACACUAAGAACAUUAAAUUAAAAUUCGACUAUAACUAAAACAAUAAAUGAUGUUAUAAAAACACAGUAAAAUCACCUUAAAAUAUGUGAUUAAA